GUCAGGAUGGCCUAGUGGUUUAAGGUGUUGGACUCAAGUUUUGGUCUUCGUGAGAGGGCGUGGGUUCAAAUCCCAAUUCUGACA
rfam:Ipomoea nil DNA, scaffold: scaffold2821, cultivar: Tokyo-kokei standard.